CGGCGUGGUUGCAGGCGGUGAUGUGGUUGGGAGGGGGAAAUAUUCGGGUGUGGAGAAGGAGCGAGAACGAAGGCCUGAGAGAGGGAAAGGAAGGGCGAGAGCUAAUACCAACGGAGGUGUUGUCAGUGGAGGGUAUGAGUGGUUGAGCGGGGGGAGGCCAGGGGAAGUCAACGCAUGAGGGCCCGAGGAAUGUCAGCAGCUUGUUUGUGGCGAGUCUCUCCAGAUCUCUGUGAGAACCGUCAAAAAGAAAUUGAAAGCUACCUUGAUGGAAUGAGGUGUUGCUCCUCCAACCUGAAAUUGGCCUCUUUGUGGCAGAAGAGGUGGCUGUGGACCGAUGUGUCGGAAUGGGAGUAGUUGGCCGCCGGAAAAUUCUGCUGUUUGCAGAAGGAGCUGAGAUGAACAUGAAUAAUAUGGAAUCAUACGUAUGAAGUAUGCUGUGAUGGAAUGAUUGCAGGAUUCCUGGAAGCCAUUAUGUGCUUUUACUUCAUUGACUAAAACUUAAUAAUUGAAUAAAAACAGUGAAUUUGGUAUAAAAUUGAAAUAUAAAUCACUAUGUAUAUUUAUAAUUUAUACUGUCUGUCUUGGAUUAGAAAUUGAUGCUGUUGUGUUUACUGAUCACUAACCAGAGUUAAUAACUUCAGAUUUGACACUGCUUAGAAUGAGUAGAAGGCUUUGUUCUUUUUUUCUUCUAGCUUGAGGUAACUAUUUAAUGUGAUAGUAAUUGGUUUUGAAAUAAAUUGCCUGCAAUUUAACUUUAUUUUUAGAAUAUUCUAGUUUAAUAACUAAGAACAGAAUCUGGUAGCUGUACAAUUUAAGUGAAUUUCUGUGUGGUAAGUAUAUUUAUCUAUGUAAGUGUUCCAGAGCUCAGCCAGUUCGCAAUGUUGAAUAAUGAUUUGUGCUUCCUGUUGUGACCGGGUGAAAUUUUAUUUCUUUCAUUGCCUCUUAAAGCUAAAGUAGAGCUUGCUUGAAGACUUCAUUGAUACCUACUCCAUUUUAUAAUUUGUAAGUGCUUACCUUUAAAAUAUAUUGCCUUUUGUAAACACAAACAAGAAAAUCUGCAGAUGCUGGAAAUCCAAGCAAUGCACAAAGUGCUGAAGGAACUCAGCAGGCCAGGCAGCAUCUAUGGGGGGGUAAAAAAAAAAAAGCACAGUUGACUUGCUGAAGGGUCUCAGUCUGAAACGUCGACUGUACUUUUUUUCCAUAGCUGCUGCCUGGACUGCUGAGUUCCUCCACACUUUGUGUUGCUUUCUUUUUAUAGAAGUGGGCUUGGGUCAGUUUCAAUCUGCAAAAGUGUUGUUGCAAAUUGCUUUUAGGAAAGUAUAAAAUAGGGCAGCACAGUAGCGUAGCAAUCAGCUUAAUGCUAUUACUGCACCAGCGACUCGGGUUUAAUUCCCAUACCUGCCUGUAAGGAGUUUGUACCUUCUCUCUGUGACCAUGUAGGUUUCUUCCCACAUUCCAAAGGUGUAUGGGUUAGUAAAUUAAUUGGUCACGUGGAUGUAAUUGGUUGGCAUUGGCUCAUUGGGCUGGGAGGGCCUGUUUCUGUACUGUGUCACUGUUUCUAUAAGAAAUAGAUUUGAGGGGCAGGCUUUCAGCUCCUUUGGCCUGUUCAGUGAGAUCAGUUAUUUUUAUCUCAAAGACACUUGUGCAUUCAUAAAUAUAUAUUAAAGAAAACCAAUCACUUGUAUAUAAGCAAAUGAGCCACUAAAACGUGGCCACUCUGCAUGUACCUGACAACCCACGUUGCUGCCUGGUUUGGUAUUAUCAGUAAACAUGGAUAUAUUGCAGUUGGUUCCCUCAUCGAGCAGUUACUCCUGUAGCAGCAGUCCACUAUCACAUCCUCCCAACCCAUUUUUUUUUGCUCCAUUGUUUUGCCUGCAAAAUGUACCACUAAUCAUCAAAAAUCUCGUGCUCUAAUUUUGUUUGAUAACCUCUGAUACAGCAUCCUUUUGAAAGCCUUCACAUUUGAAUACACUAUAUCAACUUGUUUACCUAUAUUCUCAUUACAACCUCAAAAAGAACUCCUAACAGAGUAACACAAUGUCAAAGCUCAAGUGGCUUGGGUUCAAUUCAGACCUUCAGUAAUAUCUGUGGAGGUUGCACAUUCUCCAUUACCUUGUGGGCUUGCCCCAGGGGGUCCAGUUGUCUCUAAUAUUCAUAAGAUAUUCUGACUUGUUAAUUGGCCCCUAAUUUUAGGUGGGUGAAUCAUACUACGUGUAAGAGCACAGGGACAGUGUGGGAGAAGAUGAGAAUGAUAAGGUUGCUCAGAGGGCAGGCAUAGACUCUGAUAGUAUACUGGCAAGAAAAAUCCAUGUUCACCCUGGCCAAUCUUAUUUCCGAAGUGGUUUGUCAGCAUUUUCCCUAACGUCAUCAGGCUAAUUUGUAUGUAGAUUCCUGUGUUCUCUCCCUUUUUUUUAAAUGAUGUGCUAUUUUUAGGUUGGGGAGCUAUUUUCCAAGAUACGUUAUUUAUACAAUAUAGUUCUGAGAUUAUAGCCUUUAAUGCACAAGUUCUUGCAGAGAAAACAAGGUGUGUUGCGUUUGCCUGCUUAUUUUUUUCAGCUUUUGAAGGUACUUUAUUUAGCUUAAAUUAGAACUUUGAAUAACUGUUUUCAUCCUAACCUUAUUUAUUCGGUUUAGUUCUUCUGUUACAUUUCACUAAGUAUAUUAUUUGUUUAAUAUAGUUAAUAUUUUCUGAAAUGGGCUUUUAAUAUUUUCUUUUGGGGGAAGUUAAUUAACAAAUUUAUUAUCUUUAAUCAAAUAGUGUCUAGUUCUCCGUAUGUACUUGGGCAUAUUUUAUUAUAUUUGGUUUAAUUUAUAAACUAAGCCUGG